rnacentral:tmRNA from 1 species
GGGGCCGACUUUGGAUUUGACGGCAAGAGAAAUGGUUAUGUAAGCAUACCGAGUGUUGAGAGUGUGACUCGUAAAUCCCUAUUCUCAUCUCUAUAAACGGAGAAAACAACUACGCACUUGCUGCCUAAUUACUAGAUGUAAUUACGCUUAAUCGAGGCUAUAAGAUAGCCCGACAAGUUGCCCAGCUUCUGACUACUCGUUCAGCGGUCUUUAGCAAUGGGUAUCGUUGGUCUGAACUAGUUGAGGUCUUGCUUCGGGGCUGAUACGAAAUUUAAGAAGCUAAGUCAUAGUUAGGCUGUUUGUGGUCAGGCUAUGAUCGAAAACCAAUUGCAAACUAAGUAUGUAGAAAGCUUAAUCGUUCCUUGUUUGGACGAGGGUUCGAACCCCUCCGGCUCCACC